GACGAACGCUGGCGGCGUGCUUAACACAUGCAAGUCGAACGGAAAGGCCUGCUUUCCCUUGUGGAUUGCGGGUACUCGCGUGGCGAACGGGUGAGUGACACGUGAGUGAUCUGGCCCGAACUUGGGUAUAAGCCUGGGAUACUGCGUCUAAUUACCGAUAGGACUGCAGGGUGUUGCCUAUGGUGGAAAACGAUUUUCUAGUGGUUGGGGAUGAGCUCUCGGCGUAUCGGCUUGUUGGUGGGGUAAUGGCCUACCACGGCGGCGACGGGUAGCGGGCCGAGAGGGUGGACGGCCAAAUUGGGACUGAGAUACGGCCCAGACGCCUACGGGAGGCAGCAGUGGGGAAUAUUGCACAAUGGGCGGAAGCCUGAUGCAGCGACGCCGCGUGGGGGAUGACGGCCUUCGGGUUGUAAACUCCUUUCGACCGCGAGGAAGCCACCUGGUUGGACGGGUGGUGACGGUAGUGUUAGAAGAAGCACCGGCUAACUACGUG
rnacentral:rRNA from 1 species